GAGGAAGUGUCACAGCUCUCUUGCUUUCCCUUACACGGCAGAGAGGGUGGCUUUCUUAUCUUGCCCUCCUUCAAUGUUGUCCCACGUACCGCCAUCUCUCGGGAGCUCCCCUCUCCCGGACCCACCCUUCCGUGAUUACAUAUAGGCGAGCCGUGCUCUUCAUCGGUUCUCUCCACUUCCCGAGUUAGCCCAGCUACGACUCCUGGCAGUUCAUGUUGCAGUGCUUCUGCUCUCUUGCUUGUCCUGCUCAGGUGUUCUCCUUGUUGGCUUGCAGAGGGGCGUUUUCCCUUGGCCGUCCCACUCGAGUUGGAAGUGGGAUCCUGACAUUUGAGCCUUCGCAUGCGUGCCAGAUCUAACUCUUCCAGCUCACGUGAGAUGAGGGCACCUUUCGGCGGAACUUGCUCGUUGUCUGUGUGUUACGUUGAGGGAGGAUGGGACCGCAAUGGUGACCUGGGGCCAAGUGGAGGAGUAGUCUCCUCUCUUUGUGCAUCAAAAGUGAGAUUCAACUCCUCCAACUUCUCUCCUCUCACUUCACUACUUCAGACUUUUCUAUGUUGGACUUUUGUGGCAUAAAAAAGUAGGGCUCCCAAUUUUUUGUUUCCCGUCAGUAAUCGCACGCUCCUUAGCCAACCACCAUGACGAAUGACAUCGUUCUGCCCCUUUAUUGGAUAAAAAUGGUGGGCCCUUUUGCGCAGUUACGUUAAUUGUCACAAAAAGCUUUCUACAAAAUCGGGAGUGAUAAUGGUACCGUUCUGCGCAAUGUGGUCAAGUUCUAUUUCGAGAGUGCAGAUUAAAUGUGUCGAUCCUUCUGAACAGCGUUCUGAGACUUAACCCGUGGCAUAGAUGAGGUGCCCUUUUCCUUCUUCCGAUGCUUCGAUCAAAAUGUAGAAGUAAAAACCAAUUAAUGACAAAAAAAGUGAGGCAUUUUUUUUUUGUUUAUAAUUUUCCAUAUUAAUUGGAAGUUAGAUUUGCAUUACCACCCUAUACUGGCGUGCAAAAGACGUGGAACCCUACGCACAAGCUGGGGCAUCAGUGCUCUUUCUGUAGACGUUAAUUUAUCUGCGCUUUAUGCUUCAUGUAUUGUCCACAUUCUGUCCACAUUGUCCACGUGCACUGUAUACAGUCGCUCUUCUGUGCCGAUAUACAGCUGGAACUGAAAAAUAACCCAUGCGUGAGAAAGAUAAGUAUUUACGUAUAAUCUUCCAAUUUAUAAUUUAGCAUUUUUAUAGGAUAAUUUUGGUCCCAUCAGGUGAUUCAGUAAGGGGUGUUAUUAUUUUAUAUAUCUGAGUCUGUAACUUGGGAUGUCGUAAAGCAGGGGUGUAUGGUACUUCAGAUGUAAUCAGCCAUUAUACAACAGUAUAUUUGAGAGAGCUGACAGAACCAUGCUGGUGGAGGUCCAUAGCAUAGUAGUAUAUUGUAAUUUAAUUGUAAUAAAUCAAUAUAGAAUGUUGUAAUAUCUCAUAAAUCUAAUUAACCAGUACGUAUUAAUUGUCCAAACAAUAUCCGCUUCUAAAAUUCUAUUUCUUUUGUGAUCAUUGUGAUCAUGAAGCAUGAAGGUGACUUGAGACUUUUCAGUAUCUUAUCAUAGACGCAUGUAACAGCAAACCCUCGUGUCUGCUAAUCAGUCAUGUGCAAUAUUAUUGCAAAUGUUAUCUCACACUUAUGUUGUCUAAUAUAUAAUUUGUUUGCCUACAUUAUCUUACAGGGCAUAUUCACUGGAACAUUAGCGGCACUUAGCUGAGAUAAGGAUGAGACUAUUGUGAGACUCAUUGAGACUAAUUCAGAUGACUUCAAAUGAGACUAAUUGUGUUCCUUCGGGAAUUAUGAGGUUGAAAAGCUAAUUCAGAAUUAGCGUGCUACUGUCAGAUAUAGAUUUUUUGUUAGUGGAAGCUAACCAGGUCCCAGACUAACAGACAUCAUCAACAGAAAUAGAAAAUUGGGCGCUGUUCUCUGUAAAAUUUUGCGCCACGUGUUUCUGAAAAAAAUAGAAGUUCGGAUUAAAAAUGUAUAUGUUAUCAGAAAAACAUAAAAGAACAAACUUGUUUUUGACUCUGGUUCGAUAUGACUUCAUCAAAUCAUGUUUUGUGAUAUUGAUAUAUCAUCAUUAUCGUACCAUCUUGUCAUUCAGAUUAUGUCAUUAUGCAUCAUUGUAUCCAUGAAAUUUUAUAUUAUCUUUAUCAAACCUUGUCAUAUCUAGCCUUGUUCGUCCAGUCCAACGCGAGGCGAUGCAGAACACGAAGAAGGGGAAGAGGUGGCUGGUGGAAAGGGCCAAAGAUAAAUUUCUGAUUUUGUAAUUCAUCACAUUAAAACCAUUCUCAGCAUGUUGCACCUAAAUUCCCCACGAUGUGCAAUGUACGGUCAUAAAAAAUCACUCAAACUAAUUCCACGUAUCCCAAUUCCUUCUUUGCUUUUGUUUAGUGUGUGAGUGUGAAUAUACCGACUCUUUUUCCUUAUCUACUAAUUUGGCACCCAACAUAAGUUUAUUACAAGGUUUUUCAUCGCGAGUAUGUUACGUUUACGCUUGCGUACCCAUGUACGUCGCUCUUGGAUUUGUGUCAAGGUGACUUGAAAGUCAUUGAACAAAAGACCUUUAUCUCAAAGGUAUCGAGCUAAGAAUGUCUUCAUGGGGAAACUCUCUGAAGUGGUUCUCAAGCUGCCUCGCUGGAGCACUUUGCGCUGUUUUAUCUCGUGCUGCAGGCCGAAUAACUUGUGCAGAUAGCAACCAUAAGUGGUGUUUGCUCUGGACAAACGUCUGCGUCCGAUGCCGGCCGGUGCAUGAUAUGCCUUGGCUGAUAACGCCCGGACAAAGGUUAUACCUAUGCUAAGAAGUGUUGAAUUUAUCCUCGGUGUUUGAAAGCUUAUAGACUAUCUUUUCUUCUCGCUUUGUUUAUCUUUUGUCAUUCUCUUAACUCAAUAAAAGAGAUCAACCGUGA